GAUGAACGCUGGCGGCGUGCCUAAUACAUGCAAGUCGAGCGAACGGACGAGAAGCUUGCUUCUCUGAUGUUAGCGGCGGACGGGUGAGUAACACGUGGAUAACCUACCUAUAAGACUGGGAUAACUUCGGGAAACCGGAGCUAAUACCGGAUGAUAUUUUGAACCGCAUGGUUCAAAAGUGAAAGACGGUCUUGCUGUCACUUAUAGAUGGAUCCGCGCUGCAUUAGCUAGUUGGUAAGGUAACGGCUUAACAAGGCAACGAUGCAUAGCCGACCUGAGAGGGUGAUCGGCCACACUGGAACUGAGACACGGUCCAGACUCCUACGGGAGGCAGCAGUAGGGAAUCUUACGCAAGGGGCGAAAGCCUGACGGAGCAACGCCGCGUGAGUGAUGAAGGUCUUCGGAUCGUAAAACUCUGUUAUUAGGGAAGAACAUAUGUGUAAGUAACUGUGCACAUCUUGACGGUACCUAAUCAGAAAGCCACGGCUAACUACGUG
rnacentral:rRNA from 1 species